CUGGGCGUAAAGAGUUGCGUAGGUGGCAUAGCAAGUCGGUAGUGAAAUUGUGUGGCUCAACCAUACACCCAUUACUGAAACUGCUAAGCUAGAGCAUAGUAGAGGUAGCUGGAAUUCCUAGUGUAGGAGUGAAAUCCGUAGAUAUUAGGAGGAACACCGAUGGCGUAGGCAGGCUACUGGGAUAUUGCUGACACUAAGGCACGAAAGCGUGGGGAGCGAACGGGAUUAGAUACCCCGGUAGUCCACGCCGUAAACGAUGGAUGCUAGCUGUUAUGAGUAUCGACCCUUGUAGUAGCGAAGCUAACGCGUUAAGCAUCCCGCCUGUGGAGUACGAGCGCAAGCUUAAAACAUAAAGGAAUUGACGGGGACCCGCACAAGCGGUGGAGCGUGUUGUUUAAUUCGAUGAUAAGCGAAGAACCUUACCAAGGCUUGACAUCCCUGGAAUUUCUCCGAAAGGAGAGAGUGCCUUCGGGAAUCAGGUGACAGGUGAUGCAUGGCCGUCGUCAGCUCGUGUCGUGAGAUGUUUGGUUAAGUCCAUCAACGAGCGCAACCCUUGUAAAUAGUUGAAUUUUUCUAUUUAGACUGCCUCGGUAACGGGGAGGAAGGAGGGGAUGAUGUCAGGUCAGUA
rnacentral:rRNA from 1 species